GGAUGUUGAACAAGUUAAGCAGUAAAGUCAAGUUUGUCAACAUUUUUGCCUCUUCUGACCGUUUUUGCUACUUUUACACCAUCGUUUUGUUUCUGAUGAUUUACGCGCCUUUUUUAAUGUCAAACAUGAGAUGAAGGAACUAGCAAAAACAAAGAACAAAAGAAAGCGAAAAAAGAAGGAAAUUAUCUGAGGAUCUUGGAAUCAGAUGUCGAUACAAUCUUGAGAUCUUUCUGAUUCCAAAUACCAAUGUUUCACCAUUGCUGGCUUUUUGGCAUUUCAAAACAAAAGUUACAUUUCCUCAGUUAUCUUGUCAUUUUCACCUUUUUAUUUUCACCAAAUUGCUUAGAUUCAAUUAUGGUUAACAUGAUUUUGACUAAUUAUAUUGAGCAUCAUUCAGUGAUAAUAACAUCAUUAAACUGAGAGAAGGAUCAACGACAAAAUCAAUGUUUAUUUGAUUGACUACCUGAUCUCAAAAGUCAAUAUUGACUCAAUAUGGCUGACUGGCUGUUAAUUUUUUUUUUGCUAACCUGUUGAUGGACAUAUAUUUAUCUACACAUAUUGGUGUAGCAGGAGAUGCAAUAGAUAAUUGGCAGAUUUUUCCUGAUCUUGACUUGCAAAGUUGUUACAUCUUCUGUCAAACUGCAAAGUUGCCCAAAACAACUGCAUGCUGUUUAUGUAUCAACAUCAUCAUCUUCAUCAGCUAAAAUGUCUAUUUUGGCUCCUUCACCUUCUUCAAAGCACACAUACGUACACACACACAAACACACACACACACCAUCUUCAUUAUCAUCAUCAUCUUUCUUCCUUUAUCCUGCGGCAAUGAUUGCCAAUCAAUUUUAUCCUUCACUUUGUCCCUCUUCAUGAUGAUGGCCUCUUUAGAGACUCUCUCAACUGUCAUCCACUCGCUAACCUUACCCAUCUCAUCUUCAUAAUCUUCUCUUUCUUCCUAGUCUCUUUUAAAUUAGUUUGUAAUUAGUGCUACUUUAAUUUGUAACUCUCAAUUCUGAAACAUCUGCUUCUUUCUGCUCUUUUUUUCCUGUCCUCUGAUUUUCUAGUAAUUUAAAAGCCGCGCGCGUAUAGCCUUUUAAAAAAAAUUAGACGAUGGCAAAGAUUAGUAGCAGAAACCAAAGUCAAAGUGGAAACAUGUUUUUUUACCUUCACUUUCUUUUUAUUAUGAUUAUCCAUUUUAAUUGUAAUCGUUUAUCUUUUACAUCGACUAUUGCUCAACAAAUUAACAUAACAAUCAAUCUGUAACACAGUCAACAACAUUGGCAUAAACAUUUAUAUAUCUGUGUUGAACGCUCGAUUGAACCAAAACAACAAAAUCUCAGCUUAACCAUGUUUUUUACCAAGGAAAAACCAAGAGGAAGAAGGCGAUGAUGAUGGAGGAAAGGAGAGAAAGAUGAAAGGUGAUGUGAUUCUUUACCUCAUUUUUUUGUGUUUGACAGAAGACUUGUAGGAGCGCAAAAUUGGUCGAUGACACCGAGAAACCAUGAAAAUUUGGUUUGAAACAUUUCUUGGUGUGAAGGAGAGGAGAGAGGUAAAAUGAGUUUACCUGUUGGGGUCGGUUGCGAGGCGCUAAAUUUACUCAAUUAUAUUUUAUCAAUCAAGAAAUGUUAAUCAAUGUUCGGUAUUCCGCAAGUGAUGAAGGUUAAUUGUUGAGCUGAAUCUGGAAAAAAAAGGUUAAAGAUGGAAAAGUUAUUAAUGCAAAAGGAUGGAAAAGACUUUGUCUGGUUGUUUUUUACAAUGUUAUUUAUAUGGAUGAACGGAUCAUUUAGCGAUGCGAUUUUCACCGAUCCCACGAAACUUGAUGAGGAUAGAAAAGUAGACAACGAAGGAAAAAAAUAGAAAGAGACACAGACAGAGUGGUUAAUUGUGAAACACUAGUGUGGCCACCAUGGAAAGGAAAGUAAAGAUUGAGGAAAAAAAGGCUACAAAAGUUCAAGGCUCAAUUAACCUGGAAAUGUAAUGAAUGAUGGAGUUAUUAUCAUUCCCAUAGACAGGCAAGGUUAAAGCAAAGGAACGAUAAACAAGUCAAAAGGCAACCCAAGUCUUGGUAAAAAGCUCAGGCUUAAUCCAUGUUUACUCGCAAUACAUUUAAUAGCUGUUGUAAACUGUUUUUGGUGCAUUUGCUGAUAAAAAUGAUGGAGAAAGGCAGAAAUACCAGAUUAUCAUCAUUUCAUAGUUUUAUUUGUUGAUUGUAAAGAAAGCAUCUUUCUGUUGAUGAACACGAAAUGAAAGCCUCUGAGUUAUCAUUUAUCUGUCACCUUUUCAAAUCUUCCUCUUCCUUCUUCUUCCCUCUAUUUUUUACAUCAUCACUAUCAACGGUAUUUUCAGAUAGUUUAUGCAUCAUUGGAAUGACGUAGGAAUAAGCUGUCAACAUAAAGGAAAGCAAAAUAUUAAGGUAACAACAAUACCAAGCUCAAGCCAAAAACAUUUAUCACUUACAUUUAGACUCAAUUAAUUUGUUGCCUUUUCACCCCUUUGAGUGUUGUUUCCCUUUCCUUUCAUCAGGUACACAUUUUAUCAUGAAAUUUACGUGUUUAACACCUUUUAUUUGGUUGGUGUUUGAUAAAAUACCUUUUUACUUUCAUUCAAUCAACUCAAGUUAUAAUUAUACCAACCAAUCCAAACCUGAACCAGAAACCCUUUCAAAACAUUCAACCAUUUCAACUGCUUUCAUUUUUAACCUCUCAAUCCAAUUAUUUAGAUUCAAUGCUUCUCAAUGUUCAAGUUUCAUGAGGAGAAGAGUUAAGACUUUUUUUUGUGCUUCUUUAUAAAUAAUUUAUUCAGAUUACCUUUUUUUUCUGCUGGAAAAAUCAUAAAACACAAGACAAGAGUCUAAUGAGUACGAUAAUGAUUAUGAUACUAUUUGAUUGAUAUGAUCAAGUCAUUUGAUAUCGUCAUCAUUUCCAUGCUGCAAUCGUCAGCAUGGAGUGCAAACAAACGUCAAAUGAAUAACUUGUAUUACACGUCAAAUUAACAGUAAUAAGAUGCUAAA